AUUGAACGCUGGCGGCAGGCCUAACACAUGCAAGUCGAGCGGUAGAGAGGUGCUUGCAUCUCUUGAGAGCGGCGGACGGGUGAGUAAUGCCUAGGAAUCUGCCUAGUGUGGGGGAUAACGUUCGGAAACGGACGCUAAUACCGCAUACGUCCUACGGGAGAAAGCGGGGGAUCUUCGGACCUCGCGCCAUUAGAUGAGCCUAGGUCGGAUUAGCUAGUUGGUGAGGUAAUGGCUCACCAAGGCGACGAUCCGUAACUGGUCUGAGAGGAUGAUCAGUCACACUGGAACUGAGACACGGUCCAGACUCCUACGGGAGGCAGCAGUGGGGAAUAUUGGACAAUGGGCGAAAGCCUGAUCCAGCCAUGCCGCGUGUGUGAAGAAGGUCUUCGGAUUGU
rnacentral:rRNA from 1 species